GCUUCUGUGGCCUAGGGGUUAGAGCGUCCGCCUCAGAUGUGGGAAUUCGCGGGUUCGAACUCCGGCCGAGUCA